rnacentral:lncRNA from 1 species
AACCAGGCGAAAUGGAGGCUCAGAUGGCUGAAGUUGGAACUGAGUAUGUGUUGAAAAACAUUCUGACAACUCGAAAACCUGGUCCUCCGAUAUUUCCCAAGGGAGAGUAUGGAACCGGGUUCAAUCCAGAUAUGCCGAAUUCCUUACCCUCUUGGCUCACGCAAGAUGAUCUUGCCUAUUACGUAUCCAAAUAUGAGAAAACGGGCUUCACAGGACCCUUGAACUAUUACAGAAAUAUGAACUUGUAAUUAAUCUAUGAUUUCCUUUUCGGUUAAAAUUUAUCAGAAAGACAUGUAAUUGAUUAACUGUAUUGCUGCUUACAGAAAUUGGGAGCUGACAGCACCAUGGAGUGGAGGAAAAAUUCAAGUGCCGGUAAAGUUCAUCACAGGUGAGUUGGACAUGGUGUACACCUCACUGAACAUGAAGGAGUAUAUCCACGGUGGAGGUUUCAAACAAGAUGUUCCAAAUUUAGAAGAAGUGAUUGUGCAGAAAAAUGUAGCUCACUUCAAUAAUCAAGAAGCAGCUGAGGAAAUCAAUAAUCAUAUUUACGAUUUUAUCAAGAAGUUUUAAUCACAGAACGAAUAGAAUACUGAUAAAAAAAACAACGAAUUGAAUAUGGAACACACAGUCGAAAGGUUGUAGGUGACGAAGACUCUGAAUGGUUACCGAUGGGUUUAUCUUAUCCUUUUAUCAACUAUCAUAUCAUUGUCACCACUGUUGUCACUACAUCUUGUCUUUCUCUUUUUUUCUUUUCUUUUCCUUUUAUUCCUCUUCUCACCCAUAUUCUCUUAAUAAAAAAAAUCAUUAAAUUCGAUAAUAAAUUUAUUGUUCAUUUUAUAGAUAAAUUUAUCAACAAAAAUAUCUUCAGUAAUAAAAUCACAAAUUAUUGAUGGAACAGACCAUCAUGUGCAUUAUUAAUAAAAAUAUUCAUUAAUAAUACAAAUUAUGAUUUAUUAAUAAAUUUUUUUUACAUUAAUUAUCGAUAAAAAUAUAGGUCAAUAAUUUAAAUCCCAAAAUUCAUUAGUAAACAUACUGAAAAUUUAAUUUUAAUUUGUAUCAUCAAUAAUUAAAAAAUUAUUUUAGUGUUAAUACAAAUCCAAAAUUUAUUCUUAACCAUAAAUAUAAUAAUUUGUGAAACCUCUCUCAAAUAAUAAAUAAAAAAUUGUUUUAUUCAUUAGAAAAAUCAUAAUUUUAACAUAUCCACAUAAUUUAACACAAUUGAAAACGAAACAUAAAUAUAUAAUAUAUAAAUAUAUAUAGAACAUAAUUAUUAUCUCAAUCAUUAAUUUAUUUUUAAAAAAACUUAAGGAUAUGUUUUUAGCCUCUAAAUUAUUAUACAAUUUUAGUUUUAAUUAUUUAAUGAUUAACACUGUAAAUUUUUUUUAUGUAACUAAAUGGUAUGCAACGUCUUCAAAAUAUAUAUAAUUAACUAAUAAAUUCUCUCAUAUAUAUCCAAUGUAUUAUGAAUUAACAUUAAAUCUUAAACAUGUGUUAGGCUUAAAACAAACUAUAUUUAAUUUAAUUAUAGUACUUGGUUUUGGAUAUUAACAUAAUUCUUUACUUAGUAGUUACAGAACAGAAAGUGAAGAUGAUGAGACAAAAAAGUUUAAUUAGAUUAGAAGAAAAAUGGCACAUUAUGAACAAUUUAAAGUUCAUUGGAUUGGAAGAAAAUUUUAAUAUCUAGGUAAAAAAAAAAAGAUUACUUUGUAAUACGCAGAUAAUAAUGUGUAAUUGAUUACGUCUAUAAUCAGUCAACCCAAAGGACUCAGAUUAAAAUUGGACUUAUGGGAGCUAAGCCCAAACCAGCUAACAAGAUCCAGAUGUUCAAUUCGUUUUGAGAAUUUAAAACUCAAGUACAAUAUUUUGUCGAAAGUGAGUAAGUUGAGACCAUUUAAAAAAAAAAUUAAGAAAAAAGUAUACUUUGAAGCCUAUUUUUUUCCUCUUACUUGCACUUUAUAACUCUUUUUAAUAAUAAAAUAUUACAUUUAACAAAAAAAAAUUAAAAUAAAAUAGGUUUAAUACCGCUUUUGAUCCCUAGUUUGGGAGGUUUUGUUCAAUAUGGUCCUAGCUUUUUUUAGUAACAAUUAAUCCCACUUUUUGAAAAAACUGUUCAAUUGACUCCUUUUUGGUUACGACGUCAAUUUUCCAAUGAUGCUGGUUACGACGUCAAUAAGUUCUUUCAUGCAUUCACCUAUCCAAAUGUUAUUUUAACAGUCCUGACAUAAUGUUAUGUUAAGUCCUGACAUAAUGUUAUGUUAAAAAUCAUGUCAUCAUCGUAUACAAUAAGGACUAUAAUAAACAAUUUAAACUUGAAUAUGGGAUGAUAAUAAACAAUUUAAACUUGAAUAUGGGACCACUAUGAACAAAAAGGACUCAAUUGAACAGUUUUUUCAAAAGGUGGGAUCAAUUGUUAUGGAAAAAUAAAAGUAGGACCAUAUUGAACAAAUCCUCCCAAACUAGGGACCGAAAGCGGUAUUAAGCCAAUAAAAUAAUAGCAUUCACGAUUGUGAAAUGUAUAAGAAAAAUGAUAAUACCAAACUAUCAUGGUACUUUUAUAAUGGAGGGUAGUUGAGCAAAAGCUCAGAUUUAAUUUAUAUUCAAAACUUUAAGGUUAAGGUUUACAUUUAUAGAACAAGUCAAGCUGGUUGAUUAAUUAAUGUCUAAAAAGAAUUUGAAUUAAAAGAAUAAAGAAAUAAACACAAAAAUGUUAAUGAAGGUCCCGUACAAAAUUGAAACAAUUAAAAUUUUGUAUUGCAUAAAUUAACCUCUUCUUUAUUUUCUCUUUAUAAUAAGUAAGUGCUUUCGAUUUUCAUGUGGAUGAGAUAGAAAAUUGAAAUGUUCAGAUCUUGUCUAUUGAUAUUUUAUUGACACGUGAAACACGCUUGCAUGGGAAGAACUUACGUGUCAUUUGAAAAGAAAUCCAAUAAUCCAAGGUUUAUAUUUACUUAAUCAUAUCGGUGGUCCUACCUUAUAAUAUCUACUGAAAACAACAACCACAGUCACAUUCUAUCGUUUUCGUUCUAAGUUGUAAUCACUUUAAAUAUAUCUUCAUUAUUUAAUCAAAAAGUUUCUUAAUUAUUUUAGUUUAUAAAUUAUGAAUAUCAUACAUCGUUUUUCGCACUUUGUAAAAAUGGAAAUAUUCGGUUGAAAAUUUAAAACUCUACUACGAUAAUUUUCCUCCUUUUCAUUUCUUAAUUAUCUAGGUAGAAAUUUAAAUUUCUAGAUAAACAAAGUAAUUCAGACCAUACCUUGUUUAUAAAGCAGAACAAAGAAAUAGUGGCCAUACUUAUUAUCUAUGUAGAUGAUAUGGUGUUAACAGUUGAUUAUGUGGAAAAAAUGAAAUUACUUGAGAAGAAACUAGCUGUUGAAUUUGAAAUGAAGGAUCUAGGACAACUAAAAUACUUUCUUGGCAUAGAAAUUUCAAGAUCUGAACAAGGUAUUUUUCUAUCUCAAAGAAAAUAUAUUCUAGAUAUUCUAUCUGAGAUUGGAAUGUUGGCUUGCAAGCUAGCCGAUACUCCUAUUGAAACGAAUCAUUCUCUUACUGUAUAUCUAGACCAGAUUGAGACGGACAAGCAUAGAUACCAGAGGUUAGUAGGAAAGUUAAUUUAUUUAUCUCACACUAUACCUGACAUUGCCUAUUCUAUGAGCAUUAUAAGUAGGUUCAUGCAUUCUCCUAGUGAAGAACAUAUGACAGCACUAUACCUUAUCCUCAGAUACCUCAAAGGUUCACCAAGGAAAGGUUUAUUAUUUUCAAAAAACGAUAAAGCUUGCAUAGAAGGGUACACAGAUUCAGACUGGGCUAGAGAUAAAACUACAGGGCAAUCAACUUCAGGGUAUUUUACCUUUGUAGAAGGCAACUUAGUCACAUGGAGAAGCAAGAAGCAAAAGGUAGUUGCAAGGUCUAGUGCUGAAGCUGAAUUUAGAAGUAUGGCAUAUGUCAUUUGUGAAUUACUAUGGAUUAGAAGCAUCCUAGCUGAUUUGGGAAUCAAAUAUGAACAACCGAUGAACCUUUUUUGUGACAACAAGGUUGCAGUAGAAAUCGCACAUAACCCGGUUCAACAUGAUAGAACCAAACAUGUUGAAGUGGAUAAACAUUUUAUUAAGGAAAAGCUAGAUAAUCAAGUAUUUCAAACUCUAUAUGUUCGAUCUGAAGAUUAACUUGUUGAUAUAUUAACAAAGAUUUCAGGAAAGGUGUUUCAAGAAUUCAUUAACAAAUUGAACAUGACUGAUAUUCAUGCACUAAGGGGAAUGUUGAAGAUAGGAUUCUGUUUCUAAAGUUGUUUCCUAUUUUUACGUAUAAGCAGUUAAUAGUGCGUAUAUAAUUAUACCUCAUUAUUUAAAAAAAAAUGAACGAAAGUAUCGUAUUUUAUUCUCAGAUAUGUAUCUUAGUUUAAAGGAUAUUCUAAGUUGACUUUUUUACUAGUUUUAUUUUUCUUGUUUACUGCCUUAAAAUGUGUUUGUGAAAUUUCAGGUGGUGGGUUUAUUUAAGUGAGCUCAUAUAAUCUGUAAUGAAGAAUAAGAUGUGGUGGGCUGUUCGCUCAACCUGUUUAAUUAAUUAACUCUACACGUUAAUAUAAUAUUCGUGAAAAAUGUAUUAUUUGUUUAGUUAAUGUUGUAGAGGAGAAAUGUAUUAUGAAUCUCAUAAUUAUAUAUUGUUAUUUCGACUUAUUAUAUUUGUAUAUUUAUUUCUUUUACAACUCGGUUCUGUAAUAAAACAUAGAUGUUCAUUAAUUAUUUCUCUAUCACAAUAUUCUAAAAUUUUCAAAAUAACUUCAUUUGCUUAGACAAAACAAACAAUGUCAUGUGUCAUGUCAAAAUAAUAGUUAACAAAAUAAUGAGUUUGGUUACAAGAAAAUAACAAAUCCCUAACUUGAUUAAUGAAUAUAAUGUAGAAUUAAUUGCGGGUGUCAUUUUCAGAAAUUUUAAGUAGUUUGAUUUUUUAUUUUCUUCAUUUAUAAUAGUAAAAAUUUAUCGAUAAAAUUAUAAAAAUUAAUAAUUAAAAAUUUAGUGAUAAAAUAGUUGUCAAUAAAUUAUAUUCAUGGACUGUGAAAUCAAUUACAAUUAAUCUCAUAUUUAUCAGAAAAUAUUUAUUAAUAAUUAUUUUAAUAAAUUUUGAUCAAUGGAAUUUGUCAAUUAAUAUCUUAAUUGAGUUUGCUUUCUCUUUUUUCUCUCUUCUUUUUUUUCUUCUUUUUCUUCCUCUCUCAUCUCCAUCCUCUUUUUUCUUCUUCUUUUCAUAUUUUUUUUCUCUUCCUUCUUCAAUUUUUAUCACCAUUGUCAACGAGCUAUUGUCACACCAUCAUGUGAUUGCCACCACUGUCGUCACUGUAUUUCGUCUUUCUUCUUUUCUUUAUCUUCCUCUUAUUCCUCUUCUCACCCACCUUUUCUUAAUAAAAUAACUCAUUAAACUCGACAAGAAAUUUGUUGCUCAUUUCACAAAUGAAUUUAUCAACAACAAUAUCUUCAAUAAUAAAAUCACAAGUUAUCAUGGAACAAACAAUCAUAUACAUUAUCAAUGAAAAUAUAAAAUUAUAAUACAAAUUAUAAUUUAUCAAUAAUUUUUUCUUACAUUAAUUAUUGAUAAAAAUAUAGGUCAAUAAUUUAAAUCCCAAAGUCCAUCAGUAAAUAUUAGUUUACUAAAAAACUGAUUUAAAUUUGUUUCAUAAAUAAUUAUAAAAUUAAUGUAGUGAUAAUACAAAUCCAAAAUUUAUUUUUAACCAUGAAUAUAAUAAUUUAUUGAACCUCUCUUAAAUAAUAAAUAAAAGAAAGUGUUAUUCAUUAGAAAAAAUCAUAAUCUUAACGUAUCCACCUAAUUUAAUACAAUUGGAAACGAAACAUAAAUAUAUAACAUAUAUAGAACAUAAUUAUUAUCUCAACCAUUAAUUCAUUUUUAAAUAAACAUAUAUCCAUUAAGGAUAUGUUUUUAAGUCUCUAAACUAUCAUAUAAUUUUAGUUUUAGUUUUUUCAUAAUUAACACUGUAAUUUUUUUUCUUCUAUGUGGCUAAUGGUAUGCAAUGUUUUCAAGACACAUGUAUAGUUAACUAAUAAAUAUAGUUAAUUAAUAAAUUCUCUCCUACAUUCUUAUCAGUGUCCUUCUAUUAAACAUAAUUGAAAUGUUGAUUAUUGUCAUUAAUCGCAUAUCUAAUAUGUGACGGAUUAGCAUUAAACCUUUAUCAUGUGUUAGGCUUAAAACAAGCUAUAUUUAAUUUGAUCAGAGCACUUGAUUUUGCGUAUUAACAUGAUUCUUUACUUGGCAAUUACAACACAGAAAGUGAAAGGAUGAUGGAGAUUGUCGACAGAUUGAAGCAAAAAGUUUAUUUUGUUUGCUUGUACAUUUUAAUUAGCAUUGGAGAAUCGAACAUGAUUCAAGAUCAAGAAAGAACUCCACAACAAUUGAACUCCAGGUUGAAAUUAAGUCUAACCCUAAUCUCCAAUUGUUUUAGUUCUUUCUCGAUCUUAUUCUCAAUAACAAAUUUUGAAAAUUCGGUAUUCCAAUCAACUAAUUCAAGAAAUGAUUUCCACUCUCUAAUAAACCCAAUUAACCUUAAAUAUUGUGGAUAUCGAAAAAUUAAUCAACCAAAAAAUAUUAGGAACUCAAACUAUUUCAUUCAAUGAAUUUAAUGUUUUUUAUUUUCUAAAAUAUAAUAUACGUAUAAUAUAUAUCUCUGUGUGUGUUUCUUUUUUUUUUUUUUAAAUAAAAGAAUAAAAUAUAUAGUCAAUUUAAAAUAGUUAAGUGUUGAUAUAUACAUAACUUAUAUCUCUAUCAGAUCAAUUUGAAUAUUAUCGCCCAAAAUCAUAACAGAUUCAAAUUAUAUAUAUAUAUAUAUAUAUAUAUAAAUAAAUAAAUAAAUAAAUAAAAGUUUGUUUGUCAUCCUAUUUUUGGUAUUGAUACAAACAAUGAAUAGAAAACAAUGAUAAAUCAUUCACGUUCAUCAAAUAAAAAUAAUGUAGCAAAUAUCAUUAACUAUAUAUUUAAAAAUAUGAAUUAUAUUAGUAAUUUAUCACAAUAUUUAAUUAGUAAAAACGCAUUUACUAAUGAGAUGAAAAAAAUAAUAUUUAAAUUACAAGUAUCAUUUAUUAGUUUCACCCGCCUAAAAAAUUAUAUUUAUGUUAAUUAUAAUUUUUUUAGAUAAAGGCCCUAUUACAUAUAUUUUAAAAAUAUAUUAAGAAUCCCUUUGACAAACAUUAUAAUACUACGAUCUAAUUUAAUAAGUUCUAUACAAGAGCUUUUAUGCUAUGCGUGGCUAAAAUUUAAUUAGUUAUUUGUGUUUAAAUUUGUACAUUGAAAAGUAUUUACGUAAUUUUGAAAUGAUUGAAUACAUUAAUUACAUUAGUACUUAUUAGAUAUUAUCUAGUUCCAAAAUAGAAAUCCAAUAUUGAUUAAAAUGUAUCCACGCAAAUAUUUUGUAGUAAAUUUAUUAUAUCUUUUUGUAUAUACAAGUUAAAAGGUAGAUAAAAAGAAAUGGAAGAAACAGUAGUAAAUUCUCAACAAUUGAAAAUAUUCAUUUAUCAUGAUGAGAAAACUUAUUUUUAAAAAGUAGUAAAUUUGUCUUUUUCUCUUUAUUGCUCUGCGUUUUCAAGUAUGUUUUCUCUCCUUUUAACUAUUUAAAGUUGUUUUUACUUCGAUUAAAGUAAUAUUUGAUAUAUUAUCUCUCAUUUGAACCGAUUAAAAUGAGUUUUCGUUGUGUUUUCGUGCGGUGUUUUUGUUGUAUCUUUGUGUAGCGUAGUGCACCUUCUCCCUUUGCUAGUUUUCUUGUAAGAAAAACUUGCGUUUUUUGGAUUUCUCACGGAAUUUCAAUCCAAGGAUGAAUUUGGGUUAUUGCUUAUGUCCAUUCCGACCGCCAACGAGAAAGUAUACGGUGAGAAUACACCAUAUUCUCACCGUAUUCUUUUUCAUUGGUAGUCAGAAUGGACCUAGGCAAUGACCCUAGUUCAUCUUAGGGUUGAAAUGCCAUGAGAAGUCCAAAAGACGCAACUUUUUCUUAAGACGAAACUAGCAAAGGAAGGAGGUGCUACUACGCUACCCAAGACACGACAAAAACCGCACCAAAGCACAACGAUCACCUCAAAGACGUCGGUUAUUGUACAAACCGACGUCUAUAAUGUCCCAAAGAUGUCGGUUAAUGUACAAACUGACAUCUAUAAUGCCCCAAAGACGUCGGUUAAUGCAAUGCUUGACGGUUUAUAGACGUCCGAAGUUUUAUAGACUGACGUCUUUAGACGUCAGUUAGAACAUUGACUGAUGUCUUUGUAUACGUCGGUCUUUUGAACUUAACCGACGUCGCACUUAUAAAAACUGACGUCCCAUUAACGUCACCCGUAUAGACGUCGGUUCUGAUUAUAACGUUAAAAGUUCAAAAUAAUGGACGUUUAAAAUCCUUUUUGCUCUAGUUAUUGCAUCAUAUUAAAAAAGUAUUAUUAAGACGUUGUAAAAGUUCACUUAUGUUUAUUUACUGAAAAAUAAAAAAAAAAUCUUUUUUUAAUUAAGUUUUUUUUUUUUUUCAUAUUGACCGCGUUGCUACAUCACAUUUUAGAGCAUGAUUCUGAUAAAAAAAAAAUAAAAGAAAUAGUGAUAACAGCAUGUAGAUUAUCAUCGAAGGUGUUUGUAAAGCAGAAAAAGAUAACUUUAUAAAUGAACAGUCGCAAUUGUGGAAGUUAUUUCUCUCGAAAAGAUAGAGAUGGAGGGAAUAGAGCAGAAAGAAGUGGAAGUAAACGGCAUCAAAAUGCACGUAGAAGAGAAGGAGAAGGCCCUGUGGUGUUGUUUCUCCACGGCUUCCCCCAACUCUGGCACUCUUGGCACAACCAGAUUCUGGCUCUUGAUUCGGUCGGAUAUCACGCUGUUGCACCAGAUCUACGUGGUUUCGGUGACUCAGAUGUCCCCUCUUCAGUGACCAGCUACACAUGUUUUCACAUAGUGGCUGACAUCGUUGCCCUUAUAGACCUUCUGGGUGUCGACCAUGUCUUCCUUGUGGCUCAUGACUGGGGUGCCAUCAUGGUUUGGUAUCUCUGCAUGUUUCGCCCUGAAAAAGUGAAGGUCUAUGUACUGCGAAUGACAAGACCAUAAGUUUCCGUGAUGGAGGAACGAGAUCAUAGUCCUUUACUCGAGGAAGUGUGUUGAAGUAUAAAUAAAGUCCAACAUCAAAUAAAAGAGUUGAUCACGAAUUUAUAUAUACAUAAAUACUUCUAAUAAAGAGAGAGAUAUUUUGAAGUGGUGUCCAAAACAAAUCGGUAACUCGUUAAUAUUUUUAGAGGACCCUUGAACUAUUAAUGAAAUAUGAACUUGUAUAACCGUUUGUCACUGUAUAACCAUGAUAUAUAUCAGAAAAAGGAGUAGCUCACUUCAAUAAUGUAGAAGCAGCUGAGGAAUCUCAACCAUCACAUUGUUGAUUUCAUCACCAAGUUCUGAUCUUAUCCAGAGAUGAACACAUUCAACCUGGAACACGGUUGCAGGGGUGGUGAAGUUGCAGUUGGUAUGCGGUGUUUCAAGGCCUUUUAGGUAAUAUAUCUCAGAAAAUCAAGAACGUUUUACAAGAUGUAAUGCUGACUGAAAACUUGUAAGUUAAUAAAAAUUAAUAAUUCAAAAACUGCAAAUCUAAAAGUCGUGUCGUGUGAUUAAAUUGAAAGUCUUGUUAAUUACUAAUAAAUAUAUAAUUAACCAAUAAAUACUGUACAUCAUUGUUAUGCUCCACCAUUGGACUAUUUUGGCUUAAAGUUAUUGCUUUUUGUUAUAUCAACCAAAGGACUACGUCUCCUUUCACAACUAUAAUCAUACAUCAAUGAAACAAAGAUGGCGACAACAAUCUUCAUAUUGUUUUAAUUUUGAAUAAUUAUAGAAUUAAAUAAAUUUUAAAAUUGUGGUUAUAAGAUUUUUGUUAACUUUCAUUAAAAGUCAUCCUUAUUGUGAUGUUCUUUACUAAAAGAUUAUGGCAUAUUUUAAUUCAGUCUAUAAUUAAUUAAAAAACUAUUCAAAUUUUAAAAGUAUAAAAAAUUUCAUUUAAAAUUUGUCAUCGAAUUAUAUUAUUUUUAUUUUUUAUUCUUUUAUAUUUUGAAUAGUAAACGUUGUCUUAAAAUAUUUUUAAAACAAGAACCAAAUUUUUAUAUAGAAUCAUUAGAAAUUUAAAUUUAAAAAGGAGGUUUUAGUUAAUUAGAGACAAAAAUAAAAUAUAUAAUAACUUACUAUUUAUAGGACCUAGAAAUUACUCCAAAUGGACCAGAAAUUAUUUCAACAGUUGGAUGAAGCAAGAUCCAAUAACGCGAGAAACGAAAAACUGCAUCCAACGAUUUAAAACAAGUAACCUGCAACCAUUUGUCAUCGAAUCAUCAACCAACGAUAAUAAUUUCUAAAUUAAGUAACACUCCGAACCACACGCGCUACCCAAAAUUCAUAAAGUCCCUACGCUAAAACUGUUUGUCUCAGACUUGGAAGCCCUCUCUAAUAUAUGGACCGACUAGUGUCUGCUUACUGACCUGUCAACUAUAUAAAAAAUCAACUUUAGAAAAAAUCACAACCUGGUAAAUCAAACUGUCGAACACUCCAUUAUGUGACGGAACGGUUUAAGGAUCUAUUUUUUUCAUUAACAAGGUAAAAAUAUACUUAUAUGAUAUUGAUGGACAAUCUUAAUAAAAAAUUAACUUCGAAACUUAUAAAUACACAAGUGAGAAAAAGAGGUAGGUGUAGGGAUGCCAAUGGAUUUGGUCGAGUACGAAUAGUGUGAUACUCGAACCCGACCUGUGUGUAAAAAGUGUAUUCGUUACUCGUCUCGUUACCCGCUACCUGCCGAAUAUCCGUAUAAAAAAUUCGCAGAUUUUUUCAACCCACGGAUAUUCGUUGGAUACACGUUAACAGUGUAUGUAUUAUUAUCCAAGCCUAAGUUCUGAUCCAAACUCCAUUUUCCUUUCUUUUUCAAAACUUAUAAACCCUAGAUCUUCAUUUCAAAUCUCAGAUCUACACAAAAAUAUUUCAGGUCUGCACCAAAAUAUCUUAGAUCUGCACUUAAGGAUCUCAUAUUUGCAUUAAAGGAUCUUAGAUCUACACCAAAGCAUCUCAGAUAUGCCUCUCGUCGCCGCUCCCGAUGCAGUUCAACUUCUCAAGCUCUGCAAACGGGAUCACCUACUGCUGGCUGGCUCCACCGCUGGUUGCGGGUGGAGCCAUGAAUGGUGGAAGAAGAAGCUGCAAAUGUUGCAACAACAACAAUAUGAAGUCCUUGUGGCAUCAUUGGGGACAUUGAUUCUUGUUGUUGGUAGGUGGCGGAAAGAAGAAGGGAAAGAAGAAGAAGGGACCCUUUACUUCCUCUACACUGUAACAAAGACAAAAUUAAAAACAAAUAUUUUAACUUAUUUUCUAAUUUCAUAAAAAAGUAAUGGGUAAAAUUGGAAUUUUGUUCUUUAAACAGGUAGUGGAUACCCGCGGGUACAGAUAGUGUGAUAUCCAUACCCGACCUGUUAACGAGCGGGUAUUAAGUUACCCGCGGAUACUAAAUAUCCACAACGAAUUUUUCCCGCAAAUAUUCACGAUUACGAGUUUUAUUACCAUUCUUAGAUAGGUGGUUAUAUUUAUUGAACAUUUAAGACUUAAUUGUAAUAAUCGAUCAAUAAUUAAAAACUAAAUACUCAAAUUUGAACCAUACCAAAAUAGAGUCGAUAAGACACAAGGAAAAGAAAAACAAAGUUAAGAAAAGUGAUUGGACCAAACUGGGAAGGUGUGGUUCUGAACCCUAUCUACUAAAAUAAUAAUAAUAAUAGGCAUUUGAUGAACUUCAAAAUAAAUGACCGAAGGAAUUUAACGAGAAAGCCUAUUAUAAUCAAAAUUAUAGGCAUUUGAUGAACUUCAAAUGUAUCCCAUCUUAAUUAUAAGCUAAAUUCAACGGUUUGACCAACUUUUCUCAUUGAUGAAGCCACGAGAAGCACGCUAUAAUGUAUUUUUACAAAUUUUGUUUGCUUUUGUCUAAUGGGUCAAAAACAGUUUCGUCAAUAAAUUGCAAUUUAAAUGGAUUUGAUGAAAGAAAGUAAAUGUCCACAAGUAUACAAUAAAAUUUCAUUAUGAGCCAUGCAAAUGUUCAUAUGCUAAUUUAAUCUAAGCUGAUGUUAUAUUUAAUUUACCUAAACUUUGAACAACCAUCUAAAUAUAAUUGAUAAUAAUAGUUACGUGACAGAAUGCACUCCUUACAAACAGAGAACUGUAAAUUAGUUACUCAAUAAAUAAUUCAUCACGCUCUUCACCAACACUUGGACCGGGGACGUGAUUUUGGACUGAAACAAAGAUUCAGUUUGCGUCCAAUCCCGCUACCUAACAAAUUUAAGACCGACAACUUAAAAAAGUUACCAUGAAUUUAACGUGUUUUUAGAUUUAAAAAAAAGUUAAAAUCAAUGUUCAUUUCAAAAAGUUGUUUGCUUUAGAAAAAAAUUGUUCAUUUUAACUGAACAUAUUUUUCCCUUGAUUUACAUAUCUUAAAGUAGAUAUGGAUUUAAAAGUGAAAUUUAUUUUAUUGAAUUUAUAUAAAUAUCGUUUGAGGGCAACCACCACGUCGUACAUUACAGUAGAUAAAAAAAUAGGAUUAUAAUAUAUUUUUACAUUUACUUAACACAAAAUAUAAAAAUAAAAUAAUUAAAAAAUUAUAAAUCUUUUUAUAUUUUUUAAAAACAAAAUAAUAAAAAAAAAUAUUAAAUGAAUAUAAAAAAUUUAAAUAAAUAUAAAAAUUUGAAAUGUGUUAAAGAAAUUUGUUUUUAGGAAAUCGAGAAAGUCUCAAUCAAAAUAAAUGAAUCGAUAACAUGUCUCCACCAAAAUAAAUGAAUUGAUAGCAAGUGGUUUCUAAAAUCGUGUAAAACAAGGAAGGAAAUAGUAGCUAUUUAGCAGUGGCAGCCAUUCAUUAUUUACCAUUUAAGUACAUUACCGAGAUAUUAAUAAUUUUGGUUUGUUUGCUUAUAAUGAUCAUAAAUAAAGGACAAUGAUAUUUUAACACCAUUUUUUGACACUAUUUUGACACUGCACAUUUGUCAUGAUUGAACGAUUUCAAAUUAAAAAAGUUAAGGCAGGGGUAUAUUUGGAAAAGAAAAACCAAAGUUUGUUUUUUAAUUUGAAAUCGUCCAACCACAUUUUGACACGUGUGCAGUGUCAAAAUAGUGUCAAAAAAAUGGUGUUAAAAUUUUAUUUUCCAUAAAUAAAAUAUAACUCUAAGGCUCAGUUUGGAUGUCACAAAUUAGUAUAAACAUUUUAAGAAAUAUAUCCCCACAUAAUAAAAAAAAAAAAUUAUUUGUCAGAUGUUCAUUUUUUUUAUAUCAUUUAUAUAUUCCUUAUUAUGUUAUUGUAUUACUAUAAAGAUUCUGAAUUACGUGUACAUGAAAAUAUAGUUUCCAUGACGUGUGAACGCGGGUAUUAAGAAAAGAAAAAAGAAAAAAACGUAGACGAAAGCAGGAUAUAAAGUGAAUCGCUAUCUCUAGAUAAUGUGGUGUAUCGGAUCCAAUAACACUUAAAACCAAAGAGCGUGUGAUUAGAUUUCGUACUAAGAUGGAAGGCGUGGAACACAGAACGGUGGAAGUGAAUGGCAUAAAAAUGCAUGUAGCAGAGAAAGGAGAGGGUCCUGUCGUGUUGUUCCUCCAUGGCUUCCCCGAGCUCUGGUAUUCCUGGCGCCACCAGAUUCUCGCUCUCAGCUCCCGAGGCUACCGCGCUGUUGCACCGGAUUUACGUGGUUACGGUGAUACAGAGGCACCGGUUUCAAUCAGCAGCUACACAGGCUUUCAUAUAGUGGGUGAUCUGAUUGCGCUUAUAGACCUUCUGGGUGUCGACCAAGUCUUCCUUGUGGCUCAUGAUUGGGGUGCCCUCAUAGGUUGGUAUCUCUGCAUGUUUCGCCCCGACAGAGUGAAGGCCUAUGUCUGCCUCAGUGUUCCUUUGCUUCACAGAGAUCCCAACAUCAGAACCGUCGAUGGCAUGCGUGCUAUGUACGGAGACGACUACUACGUCUGCAGAUUUCAGGUAUAUAUUCAUUUUACUUUUAAGCUUUUUUUUUUUCUUUUACAUAAACUAAAAGGAGAAUUUAGUGGAGUAGUGCUAGAUCUGAUGGUAAUUGUUGUAUUGAAAACUCGUGACAGAAACCAGGCGAAAUGGAGGCUCAGAUGGCUGAAGUUGGGACUGAGUAUGUGUUGAAAAACAUUCUGACAACUCGAAAACCUGGUCCUCCGAUAUUUCCCAAGGGAGAGUAUGGAACUGGGUUCAAUCCAGAUAUGCCGAAUUCCUUACCCUCUUGGCUCACGGAAGAUGAUCUUGCCUAUUACGUAUCCAAAUAUGAGAAAACGGGCUUCACAGGACCCUUGAACUAUUACAGAAAUUUGAACUUGUAAUUAAUCUAUGGUUUUCUUUUGGGUUAAAAUUUACCAGAACACAAGUAAUUAUUUAACUGUAUUGUUGCUUACAGAAAUUGGGAGCUG